UUUCGUGUAGAAGGGCUCUCGCCCAACGAAUCAAAGGUACGCUGAGGAUAACUGGCUGAUGACUUUUAAGAACUCUUAUUAAUGGAGUCAUUUGGGACAUUGAUGUUGACUCAUCACAUCUAGAGUUAAAGAAGGUCCCAAGGGUUCAGUUGUUCGCUGAUGAAAGUGGUAUAUAAGUUGGGUUUAGUACGUCGUGAGAUGGUUCUGUUCCUAUCUACCAUUGGUGUGAAAGGGAGAACUACGAGGAGCCAACCCUAGUACGAGAGGAUUGGGUUGGGCCAACUUAUGGUGUACCAAUUGUUAUGCCAAUAGCAGUGCUGGUUAGCUAAGUUGGUAUGGAAGAACUGCUAUUCUGUGGGAAAUCAUUCUGUUUACAAGUUCUUAGACGAGGUUGUUGAACAUCACUUCGAUAGGCGAGAGGUGUAAGCACUGUGAGGUGUUUAGUGAUCUCGUAUAAAACG
rnacentral:ncRNA from 1 species